GCACGGUGGAUGCCUUGGCACUAGAAGCCGAUGAAGGACGUUACUAACGACGAUAUGCUUUGGGGAGCUGUAAGUAAGCUUUGAUCCAGAGAUUUCCGAAUGGGGAAACCCAGCAUGAGUUAUGUCAUGUUAUCGAUAUGUGAAUACAUAGCAUAUCAGAAGGCACACCCGGAGAACUGAAACAUCUUAGUACCCGGAGGAAGAGAAAGAAAAUUCGAUUCCCUUAGUAGCGGCGAGCGAAACGGGAAGAGCCCAAACCAACAAGCUUGCUUGUUGGGGUUGUAGGACACUCUAUACGGAGUUACAAAGGACGACAUUAGACGAAUCAUCUGGAAAGAUGAAUCAAAGAAGGUAAUAAUCCUGUAGUCGAAAAUGUUGUCUCUCUUGAGUGGAUCCUGAGUACGACGGAGCACGUGAAAUUCCGUCGGAAUCUGGGAGGACCAUCUCCUAAGGCUAAAUACUCUCUAGUGACCGAUAGUGAACCAGUACCGUGAGGGAAAGGUGAAAAGCACCCCGGAAGGGGAGUGAAAUAGAACCUGAAACCGUGUGCUUACAAGUAGUCAGAGCCCGUUAAUGGGUGAUGGCGUGCCUUUUGUAGAAUGAACCGGCGAGUUACGAUUUGAUGCAAGGUUAAGCAGUAAAUGUGGAGCCGUAGCGAAAGCGAGUCUGAAUAGGGCGUUUAGUAUUUGGUCGUAGACCCGAAACCAGGUGAUCUACCCUUGGUCAGGUUGAAGUUCAGGUAACACUGAAUGGAGGACCGAACCGACUUACGUUGAAAAGUGAGCGGAUGAACUGAGGGUAGCGGAGAAAUUCCAAUCGAACCUGGAGAUAGCUGGUUCUCUCCGAAAUAGCUUUAGGGCUAGCCUCAAGUGAUGAUUAUUGGAGGUAGAGCACUGUUUGGACGAGGGGCCCCUCUCGGGUUACCGAAUUCAGACAAACUCCGAAUGCCAAUUAAUUUAACUUGGGAGUCAGAACAUGGGUGAUAAGGUCCGUGUUCGAAAGGGAAACAGCCCAGACCACCAGCUAAGGUCCCAAAAUAUAUGUUAAGUGGAAAAGGAUGUGGCGUUGCCCAGACAACUAGGAUGUUGGCUUAGAAGCAGCCAUCAUUUAAAGAGUGCGUAAUAGCUCACUAGUCGAGUGACACUGCGCCGAAAAUGUACCGGGGCUAAACAUAUUACCGAAGCUGUGGAUUGUCCUUUGGACAAUGGUAGGAGAGCGUUCUAAGGGCGUUGAAGCAUGAUCGUAAGGACAUGUGGAGCGCUUAGAAGUGAGAAUGCCGGUGUGAGUAGCGAAAGACGGGUGAGAAUCCCGUCCACCGAUUGACUAAGGUUUCCAGAGGAAGGCUCGUCCGCUCUGGGUUAGUCGGGUCCUAAGCUGAGGCCGACAGGCGUAGGCGAUGGAUAACAGGUUGAUAUUCCUGUACCACCUAUAAUCGUUUUAAUCGAUGGGGGGACGCAGUAGGAUAGGCGAAGCGUGCGAUUGGAUUGCACGUCUAAGCAGUAAGGCUGAGUAUUAGGCAAAUCCGGUACUCGUUAAGGCUGAGCUGUGAUGGGGAGAAGACAUUG
rnacentral:rRNA from 1 species